rnacentral:rRNA from 1 species
AUACGGAGGGUGCAAGCGUUGUUCGGAAUCACUGGGCGUAAAGGGCGCGCAGGCGGUUUUACAAGUCAGAUGUGAAAGCCCACGGCUCAACCGUGGAAGUGCAUUUGAAACUGUAAGACUUGAGUAUCAGAGGGGAAGGUGGAAUUUCCGGUGUAGAGGUGAAAUUCGUAGAUAUCGGGAGGAAUACCGGUGGCGAAGGCGACUUUCUGGCUGAAUACUGACGCUGAGGCGCGAAAGCGUGGGGAGCAAACAGGAUUAGAUACCCUUGUAGUCC